rnacentral:rRNA from 1 species
CCUACGGGAGGCAGCAGUGGGGAAUUUUGGACAAUGGGCGCAAGCCUGAUCCAGCAAUGCCGCGUGAGUGAAGAAGGCCUUCGGGUUGUAAAGCUCUUUUGUCAGGGAAGAAACGGUGAGAGCUAAUAUCUCUUGCUAAUGACGGUACCUGAAGAAUAAGCACCGGCUAACUACGUGCCAGCAGCCGCGGUAAUACGUAGGGUGCAAGCGUUAAUCGGAAUUACUGGGCGUAAAGCGUGCGCAGGCGGUUUUGUAAGUCUGUCGUGAAAUCCCCGGGCUCAACCUGGGAAUUGCGAUGGAGACUGCAAGGCUAGAAUCUGGCAGAGGGGGGUAGAAUUCCACGUGUAGCAGUGAAAUGCGUAGAGAUGUGGAGGAACACCGAUGGCGAAGGCAGCCCCCUGGGUCAAGAUUGACGCUCAUGCACGAAAGCGUGGGGAGCAAACAGGAUUAGAUACCCUGGUAGUCCACGCCCUAAACGAUGUCUACUAGUUGUCGGGUUUUAAUUAACUUGGUAACGCAGCUAACGCGUGAAGUAGACCGCCUGGGGAGUACGGUCGCAAGAUUAAAACGUCAAAGUAGUAAGUUGGACGGNGUAGAGACGACGACGACGACGACGACGGAGGGAGGAGG